rnacentral:lncRNA from 1 species
GCCCUUCUAACAGACUCUUAGAGCUAGCGCAUCAAAGUAUGGAUUGAUUGACAGUCCCUUGGUCAAGUUCAGUGUCAGUGAAGUGGUGAAGCGUUUUCUCCAAUGGUGCAGGUUUGGUUAAACAAGGAAAGAAAUGUUUUUCGCAGCUAAAGGAUGUGAUAAGCCAUAUCCCGUUGACAUGGUCUGCAUAGAUUCUCUCUUCAGACCUUGUAUCCUCAGUCCUACAAAAUCUGGAGAUAAAAAAUAGAUCAGUCAGCACUCCCACUUGACCUAAGUCAUGUCAAUGAUUUCCUUUUUAUGGAAGAAUUGUAACGGGCUGGCUUGUGAGUGCUGCUACUGAGCAACCAGCUACACCUGGAGAAGAAUAUCAUCACCCCAGGUCCAGCUCAGGCUGAGCCCUCCCUGGGGAAUCUCCACAGUAGCCAACUCAAUCAUCCUGGGCUUUCACGGUGAGCACAGCUGCUGGGCUCCUGUUCCCAUUGUUCUUCCCUGGGCCUCCCCUGGCUCCAGCCAUAAUAGGCUUCCUGCUGUCCUUCAACACAUUGAGCAGCUUUGUCACUGAAACACUGUUCCCACUGAAACACAGGAGCCUGACACCUUUGACCCUACAACCAUACAACUCAUCAGCUACGUGAAAGUUCCUGCUCUGAAAUGAUUAUCCACCCCACUUUCCCACACAUAAGCAAUAAUUCAGUUCAACCCUGCACCUUAAUGUUGAUGACUUUCUGGCACUUUGCAUGUUUUAUUUGUUGGUUGUGUGACUCCAUCACUCUCCCCUGGUAAUUAAAUCUCAUGAUGAAGGUCA